UACGAAGGGGGCUAGCGUUGUUCGGAAUUACUGGGCGUAAAGCGCACGUAGGCGGAUUGCUAAGUCAGGGGUGAAAUCCCGGGGCUCAACCUCGGAACUGCCUUUGAUACUGGCAAUCUCGAGUCCGGAAGAGGUGAGUGGAAUUCCUAGUGUAGAGGUGAAAUUCGUAGAUAUUAGGAAGAACACCAGUGGCGAAGGCGGCUCACUGGUCCGGUACUGACGCUGAGGUGCGAAAGCGUGGGGAGCAAACAGG
rnacentral:rRNA from 1 species